GUAAUUGAUGGCACAUUAUUCUAGUCAGUUACUUUACUAGGAAGACGAAAUUAAACAGUCGUUAAAGGGCAUAUCUGUGAAACCUUUGGUGUUUGCUUCUUACGCCCAGUUUGGGGUGGAUGCUGAAGAUGAAGAUAUUGGGCGACCGUAAUGGCAUACGAUAAUCGAACCCAAUAUCUGUGGAGACUUAUUAUAAAAUAAUCUUUAGAUUUGUUAUGGUAGGACAAAACCUGUAUUGUGAUGCAAGUUACAUGCAGCGUAGCCUGUCUUGAGUGAAAGUAUUGGGAUAAAUGAACUUUCUUAUGUGGUUGGCCGAUCAUUUUAAGAACUGCGUUUUGAAAUUACUUUUGCAAAAAAGAACUAGAAGUAGAGUGCUGGUGGGGAAAUCCCCUAGGGUGCAUUUGAUAUAGGAUUGCAGUGGGCACUAAGUGGUAAUCAAGUCGUAUGUAUGGAGACGUCAUAUAGAUUCCUUUAAAUGGGAACGGCAUAUUUGGCAACGAAUAUGUAGGAAUCUGGGAAAUCCUACUUGACCUAAGGCUCAGAGUUUACUAUAUUAAGGCCAUUAAAUUAUUU
rnacentral:sRNA from 1 species